rnacentral:rRNA from 1 species
UAGGGAGCGAGCGUUGUCCGGAUUUACUGGGUGUAAAGGGUGCGUAGGCGGGUAGGCAAGUCAGAAGUGAAAUCCAUGGGCUUAACCCAUGAACUGCUUUUGAAACUGUUUAUCUUGAGUGAAGUAGAGGUAGGCGGAAUUCCCGGUGUAGCGGUGAAAUGCGUAGAGAUCGGGAGGAACACCAGUGGCGAAGGCGGCCUACUGGGCUUUAACUGACGCUGAAGCACGAAAGCGUGGGUAGCAAA